GCAGACUCACUCUGUGCUUGGCUGACUUCCAGCCUGGUGCUUUUUAUGUCUGCUAUAUCAAAUCCAGUAACUGCUGAGUUGAUUUACUUUCUGAUGAGUAAAUUCUGAUUACUGGGACAAUUGG
ensembl:snoRNA